AAUAGAUACCCAGGUAGUCCACGCCGUAAACGAUGAGUGCUAAGUGUUAGAGGGUUUCCGCCCUUUAGUGCUGCAGCUAACGCAUUAAGCACUCCGCCUGGGGAGUACGGUCGCAAGACUGAAACUCAAAGGAAUUGACGGGGGCCCGCACAAGCGGUGGAGCAUGUGGUUUAAUUCGAAGCAACGCGAAGAACCUUACCAGGUCUUGACAUCCCACUGACCGGUAUAGAGAUAUACCUUUCCCUUCGGGGACAGUGGUGACAGGUGGUGCAUGGUUGUCGUCAGCUCGUGUCGUGAGAUGUUGGGUUAAGUCCCGCAACGAGCGCAACCCUUGAUCUUAGUUGCCAGCAUUUAGUUGGGCACUCUAAGGUGACUGCCGGUGACAAACCGGAGGAAGGUGGGGAUGACGUCAAAUCAUCAUGCCCCUUAUGACCUGGGCUACACACGUGCUACAAUGGAUGGUACAAAGGGCUGCAAGACUGCGAAGUCAAGCCAAUCCAUAAAACCAUUCUCAGUUCGGAUUGCAGG
rnacentral:rRNA from 1 species